AGCAGCCGCGGUAAUUCCAGCUCCAAUAGCGUAUAUUAAAGUUGUUGCAGUUAAAAAGCUCGUAGUUGAAUUUCGGGGUUAAUAAGUUGGUCGUGCCAAUGGUAUGUACUGGCUUUAUUGAUUCCUACUUCCUGAAGAACUGUGAUGCCAUUAAUUUGGUGUUGCAGGGAAUCAGGACUGUUACCUUGAAAAAAUUAGAGUGUUUAAAGCAGGCUUACGCUUGAAUACAUUAGCAUGGAAUAAUGAAAUAGGACGUUUGAACCUAUCUUGUUGGUUUCUAGGAUCGACGUAAUGAUUAAUAGGGAUAGUUGGGGGCAUUAGUAUUCAAUUGUCAGAGGUGAAAUUCUUGGAUUUAUUGAAGACUAACUACUGCGAAAGCAUUUGCCAAGGAUGUUUUCAUUAAUCAAGAACGAAAGUUAGGGGAUCGAAGACGAUCAGAUACCGUCGUAGUCUUAACCAUAAACUAUGCCGACUAGGGAUCGGAUGAUGUUAAUUUUUAAUGACUCAUUCGGCGCCUUAA
rnacentral:rRNA from 1 species